rnacentral:rRNA from 1 species
AGCGAACGCUGGCGGCAGGCUUAACACAUGCAAGUCGAACGGGCGUAGCAAUACGUCAGUGGCAGACGGGUGAGUAACGCGUGGGAACGUACCUUUUGGUUCGGAACAACUGAGGGAAACUUCAGCUAAUACCGGAUAAGCCCUUACGGGGAAAGAUUUAUCGCCGAAAGAUCGGCCCGCGUCUGAUUAGCUAGUUGGUGAGGUAAUGGCUCUCCAAGGCGACGAUCAGUAGCUGGUCUGAGAGGAUGAUCAGCCACAUUGGGACUGAGACACGGCCCAAACUCCUACGGGAGGCAGCAGUGGGGAAUAUUGGACAAUGGGCGCAAGCCUGAUCCAGCUAUGCCGCGUGAGUGAUGAAGGCCCUAGGGUUGUAAAGCUCUUUUGUGCGGGAAGAUAAUGACGGUACCGCAAGAAUAAGCCCCGGCUAACUUCGUGCCAGCAGCCGCGGUAAUACGAAGGGGGCUAGCGUUGCUCGGAAUCACUGGGCGUAAAGGGUGCGUAGGCGGGUUUUUAAGUCAGAGGUGAAAUCCUGGAGCUCAACUCCAGAACUGCCUUUGAUACUGUUAGUCUUGAGUAUGGUUAAGGUAGGCGGAAUGUGUAAUGUAGCGGUGAAAUGCUUAGAUAUUACACAGAACACCAAUUGCGAAGGCAGCUUACUGAGCCAUAACUGACGCUGAUGCACGAAAGCGUGGGGAGCGAACAGGAUU